UUAAAGAGUUCUAUAACUCCCAAACCCAUGUGAACAUACCUAACGUUGCCUCGGCAGGUCGCACCUACCUUGUAGCACCCUACCCUGUAGGGCCUACCCGGGAGGUGCGGGUAAGCCUGCCGGCGGCCCACCAAACUCUGUUUGAUAUUGAAUUCUGAACCUAUAACUAAAUAAGUUAAAACUUUCAACAACGGAUCUCUUGGUUCUGGCAUCGAUGAAGAACGCAGCGAAAUGCGAUAAGUAAUGUGAAUUGCAGAAUUCAGUGAAUCAUCGAAUCUUUGAACGCAUAUUGCGCCCAUUAGUAUUCUAGUGGGCAGGACCGUUCGAGCGUCAUUUCAACCCUUAAGCCUUCGUUGCUUAGUGUUGGGAGCCUACGGCAACGUAGCUCCUCAAAGUUAGUGGCGGAGUUGGUUCACACUCUAGACGUAGUAAUUUUUUAUCUCGCCUAUUAGUUGGACUAAUCCCCUGCCGUAAAACCCCCAAUUUAUCAAGGUUGACCUCGAAUCGGUUCAGACAAACUCGCUAAAUUGAAGCAUCUUAGUCAGCGAAGGAAAAGAAACCAACAGGGAUUGCCCUAGUAACGGCGAGUGAAGCGGCAACAGCUCAAAUUUGAAAUCUGGCCCUCGGGUCCGAGUUG
rnacentral:rRNA from 1 species